rnacentral:rRNA from 1 species
AAUNCCAGGUGAACGGGUAAAAUGGGUAAAAAAUUUGAAGAAAUNCCGGUGCGAAGNGGCCCCCUUGACAAAGACUAACGUCAGGUGCGAAAGCGUGGGAGCAAACAGGAUUAGAUACCCUGGUAGUCCACNCGGUAAACNAUGUCNANUUUGNANGGUUGUGCCCUUNAGGCGUGGCUUCCGGAGNUAACGCGUUAAGUCGACCGCUUGGGNAGUNCGGCCGCAAGGUUAAAACUCAAAUGAAUUGACGGGGGCCCGCACAANCGGUGGAGCAUGUGGUUUAAUUCGAUGCAACGCGAAGACCCUUACNUACUCUUGACAUCCAGAGAACUUNCCAGAGAUGGUUUGGUGCCUUCGGGAANUNUGAGACAGGUGCUGCAUGGCUGUNGUCAGCUCGUGUUGUGAAAUGUUGGGUUAAGUCCCGCAACGAGCGCAACCCUUAUCCUUUGUUGCCANCGGUCNGGCCGGGAACUCAAAGGAGACUGCCAGUGAUAAACUGGAGGAAGGUGGGGAUGACGUCAAGUCAUCAUGGCCCUUACGAGUAGGGCUACACACGUGCUACAAUGGCGCAUACAAAGAGAAGCGACCUCGCGAGAGCAAGCGGACCUCAUAAAGUGCGUCGUAGUCCGGAUUGGAGUCUGCAACUCGACUCCAUGAAGUCGGAAUCGCUAGUAAUCGUGGUCAG